rnacentral:rRNA from 1 species
CGCGGCCUAUCAGCUUGUUGGUGGGGUAGUGGCCUACCAAGGCGGCGACGGGUAGCCGGCCUGAGAGGGUGACCGGCCACAUUGGGACUGAGAUACGGCCCAGACUCCUACGGGAGGCAGCAGUGGGGAAUAUUGCACAAUGGGCGCAAGCCUGAUGCAGCAACGCCGCGUGCGGGAUGACGGCCUUCGGGUUGUAAACCGCUUUCAGCAGGGACGAAAUUGACGGUACCUGCAGAAGAAGGCCCGGCUAACUACGUGCCAGCAGCCGCGGUAAUACGUAGGGGCCAAGCGUUGUCCGGAAUUAUUGGGCGUAAAGAGCUCGUAGGCGGUUUGGUAAGUCGGAUGUGAAAUCUCCACGCUCAACGUGGAGCGGCCAUUCGAUACUGCCAUGACUUGAGUCCGGUAGGGGAGUGUGGAAUUCCCGGUGUAGCGGUGAAAUGCGCAGAGAUCGGGAGGAACACCCGUAGCGAAGGCGGCACUCUGGGCCGGUACUGACGCUGAGGAGCGAAAGCGUGGGGAGCGAACAGGAUUAGAUACCCUGGUAGUCCACGCCGUAAACGUUGGGCACUAGGUGUGGGACUCUAUCGACGGGUUCCGUGCCGUAGCUAACGCAUUAAGUGCCCCGCCUGGGGAGUACGG